rnacentral:rRNA from 1 species
UCUUGGUCAUUUAGAGAAGUAAAAGUCGUAACAAGGUUUCCGUAGGUGAACCUGCGGAAGGAUCAUAAAGGUUUCGGGUACCCAGUGCCCAAACUUCAACCCUAUGUUUUAACUUACAUGUUUCUUUGCCGGUUUCGGCCGGCAGAAGUUUUCUCAAACUCAUAUUAAUGUGUCUUCUGAAUCAAAAUUAAAUAAAUUAAAACUUUCAACAAGGAUCUCUUGGUUCUGGCAUCGAUGAAGAACGCAGCGAAAUGCGAUAAGAAUGUGAAUUGCAGAAUUCAGUGAAUCAUCGAAUCUUUGAACGCAUAUUCGCCCUUUGGCAUUCCGAAGGGCAUACCUGUUCGAGCGUCAUUACACCCUCAAAGAUAACUCUUUGGUGUUGGGCAAUGCCUAAAGGCAUGCCUCAAAUCAGCGAUGGUGAUAUUCAACCACGGGCGCACACACGUCGUCUAGCUGGGGGAUGUUGACAGUCAAUUGAUGAAUUUCUAAAUGUUGACCUCGGAUCAGUAGGAAUACCCGCUGAACUUAAGCAUAUCAAUAAGCGGAGGAA